rnacentral:rRNA from 1 species
AUUGAACGCUAGCGGGAUGCCUUACACAUGCAAGUCGGGCGAGUGGCGGACGGGUGAGUAAUAUAUCGGAAUGUGCCCAGUAGCGGGGGAUAACUACUGGAAAGAGUGGCUAAUACCGCCUACUAUUGGAGCAGCCCAUAUGGGAUUAGCUUGUUGGUGGGGUAAAGGCUCACCAAGGCAACGAUCCGUAGCUGGUUUGAGAGGACGACCGGCCACACUGGGACUGAGACACGGCCCAGACUCCUACGUGAGGCAGCAGUGGGGAAUUUUGGACAAGGGGCGAAACCCGGAUCCAGCCAUCCGGCGUGUAUGAGAAGGCCUUCGGGUUGUAAAGUACUUUUAGCAGAGAGGCGGUAUCUACAGAAUAAGCACCGGCUAACUACGUGCCAGCAGGCGCGGUAAUAC